UAGAGUGUAAAGGCAUAAGGGAGCUUGACUGCGAGACCUACAAGUCGAGCAGGGUCGAAAGACGGACUUAGUGAUCCGGUGGUUCCGCAUGGAAGGGCCAUCGCUCAACGGAUAAAAGCUACCCCGGGGAUAACAGGCUUAUCUCCCCCAAGAGUUCACAUCGACGGGGAGGUUUGGCACCUCGAAGUCGGCUCAUCGCAUCCUGGGGCUGUAGUCGGUCCCAAGGGUUGGGCUGUUCGCCCAUUAAAGCGGUACGCGAGCUGGGUUCAGAACGUCGUGAGACAGUUCGGUCCCUAUCCGUCGUGGGCGUAGUAAAUUUGAGAGGAGCUGUCCUUAGUACGAGAGGACCGGGAUGGACAUACCUCUGGUGUACCAGUUGUC
rnacentral:rRNA from 1 species